rnacentral:rRNA from 1 species
UACGUAGGGUGCAAGCGUUUAAUCGGAAUUACUGGGCGUAAAGCGUGCGCAGGCGGUUUUGUAAGACUGUCGUGAAAUCCCCGGGCUCAACCUGGGAAUGGCGAUGGUGACUGCAAGGCUAGAGUUUGGCAGAGGGGGGUAGAAUUCCACGUGUAGCAGUGAAAUGCGUAGAUAUGUGGAGGAACACCGAUGGCGAAGGCAGCCCCCUGGGUCAAGACUGACGCUGAGACGCGAAAGCGUGGGGAGCGAACAGG